GGGUUUUUGGCUAUACGAAGGUAUUGAAAUUAGGUUUUAAAUGAGUGCUAAGAGAAUGAUUUAACCAUUAAAAGCUUUCUUUAAUUGAAUAAUUGAAUUUAAUUUUUUAGUGCAAAAGCAAAAAUAAAAAUUAGGGACAAGAAGACCCUAUGAAUUUUUUAUUAAAUUUUAUAAAACCUUAUAUUAAAUUUAAUUUAAAUGGGGGGAUGGGAAAAGAAUAAAUAUCUUUUUUUUUAAAAAAAAUUGGUUCCGUUUUUAGCGAUUAAAUGAAAAAAAUACUCUAGGGAUAACAGCGUAAUAAUUUUGGAUAGUUCAUAUAGAUAAAAUAGUUUGCGACCUCGAUGUUGGAUUAGGAUUCUUUUUUGUGAAAGAAGUUAAAAAAAGAAGU
rnacentral:rRNA from 1 species